rnacentral:rRNA from 1 species
UACGGAGGGUGCAAGCGUUGUCCGGAAUCACUGGGCGUAAAGGGCGCGUAGGCGGCUCAUGAAGGCUGUGGUGAAAGUCCGGGGCUCAACCUCGGAUCGGCCGUGGCGACUCGUGGGCUGGAGCACUGUAGAGGCGGGUGGAAUUCCGGGUGUAGCGGUGGAAUGCGUAGAGAUCCGGAAGAACACCGGUGGCGAAGGCGGUCUGCUGGGGUCGAACUGACGCUGAGGCGCGACAGCGUGGGGAGCAAACAGG